GGGGGGCUUGCCUGAUUGCUCUGGCAAGAGAGAGGGCUCGUCGGUGACGUAGUCGUACUGGGCAGCAGCGGCAUCGGUCUCGGUGUCUAGCGAAAGAAGAGGGGGGAGAAACAAUGAAUACUUAGCAAGCAAGUGCAUAACAGGACAACAAGCAGAGCUAGACGUGUUCUAACGCGGUAUGAGGUGAUACCGGUGAAGGGGGGAAACAUCCGGGAAUGUAUCCCCGGUGUUCCGUGUUUUCGGGCAGAGGAGUCGGAGGGGGAAAGUUGCGAGUUUGAUAUGUUAGGGGUGUGUGGCGGAUGAAUGGGUUGCGUAUCCGGGUUCAUCUCGUUGUUCUGAGCAACUUUCAUGUAGAAAGUAUUUUCAUCUGAGCUACAGUUUAUUUUAUAUGAUUUUCUAAAGUUUUAAUCAUUUUUAGAAUUUAUUUAACUAUUUAAUUCUAACAUUAUCCAGAAUAGUGCAUGCUAACGUCAUCGUGACGUCAGCAUGACGUCAGCAGCCAACAGGGGGUUGACUGGGUCAAACUGACGUGUGGGUCCCAUAUGUCAUGGACUUAGAUUAACUAAACAUGUUAAUUAGCUUAAUUACAUUGAUUAGGUUAACUAAUUUUAAUUAGCUUAGCUAAACAGCAGUAAUUAACUUAAUUAAUUCACUAAUUAAUUAAUGUUUAUUUAUUUAUUUAUUUUAUUAACUUCUUUUUUUAUUUAAUAUCGUUCCAGGGGCGUGGGCCCCGUUUGUCAUAGGCCUUAGGGGCCUUAGCGGGCGCCAACGUUAGCAGGCUCAAGCGGAACGGGUGCGGGAGCACCCGUGCGGGCACUCGCCCGCAGGGCAGAACGAGGCCGCCGGGGAACCGACGGCGGGGCAAGCCGGCGCGGCUAGCCGGGGCCACGGCGGGCGGAGGCGAGGGUUCAGGGGGGGCUGCAGCCGCAGGAACUAGCCGGUGGCGACGGCAGCGUGGUGCAGGGGGGGCGCAAGGGCUGCUACCAACAGCAGCAGGAGACAGCAGCGAGCGGGGCGCCAUGGUGUGCACCGUGGCAGCGGCGAGGCUUGGCCCCGACCGAGGUGUAGGGAGCGAGCGGAGCGCCGGAGUGCGCGGGGUGAGCGCGUGAGUGGCAUGGCGCGCGCGACCAAGGGGUGGCGCGACUGGUGGUCAGGGGGGGCGCGAGCACGUGGGCCGGCGAGGCCGCAGGCGAGCACGGGGGCUCGCAGGUGCGGGAUGGCGGGUACGGCGACGUCGAAAUGGGGAAAGAGAGUGCGAGGAGAGGGAGGCCGUGGCCUCACCGGCGUUGCAGAGACGAGGGUCGACGAGGCUCGAUGGAGCCUUUGGGGAGGAGGAUGGGGACGACUCGGCGGAGAGGUAGCAGGCCGGCGGGGAGGCUGUCCUGUGAUGGUGUCCAGCAAGGUGGCGGGGGCGCCGGUGACGGAGAGGACCGCGGUGACGGCGUCCGGCGAUGGUUCACAGGGGGGUCGAGCGGCUCCGGGCUCGGGCGAUCCGACGGGGAAGAAGACGAGGAGGUGUUCCGGCGACGGGGUGGCUCCGGUGAAGCAGUGGCGGGACGAGGCGACGACGGUGGAGUUCCGGCGUGUGACGAGCGGCUGGGGCGCGUCCUGGGUUCGUUCCCCCGAUCCCGAUCUGGAUCAGGGAGGAGGCGAACGUGGGG
rnacentral:lncRNA from 1 species